rnacentral:rRNA from 1 species
UACGUAGGUGGCAAGCGUUGUCCGGAUUUACUGGGCGUAAAGAGCGCGCAGGCGGUCGUUCAAGUCGCGUGUGAAAGCCCCCGGCUCAACUGGGGAGGGUCACGCGAUACUGAUCGACUCGAAGGCAGGAGAGGGAAGUGGAAUUCCCGGUGUAGUGGUGAAAUGCGUAGAUAUCGGGAGGGAAACACCAGUGGCGAAGGCGGACUUCCUGGCCUGUAACUGACGCUGAGACGGCGAAAGCGUGGGGAGCGAACCGG